rnacentral:lncRNA from 1 species
CCCUCCUAGAGGAUGUCUGUCCAUCUCCCAGCAUUAAUGCUGUGUUCCUCCUGCGUCCCCUCUGUAGACACCGAACGGGCCGUGGAAAUCCUGACGAGAUACCAAAGCACCCUGUGCUCCCCAGAGGAACAGGAGCUGAAAGCCUCCAUCGGAAAGAUCUCACACAUCUUCCAAAGUGAACUCUUUCAGGCUCUGCUGGAUAUCCACGAAUUCUAUGACUUCACUCUGCGCUCAGCACCCCUGCAGCCUCCCAGCCCAGCAGUGCAUCGUGGCACAGCCCGGCACCUCAGCCCCAGAGAGCCCCACAG